rnacentral:pre_miRNA from 1 species
ACUGGGAUAGCUGGGUCAAAUGGUGGUUCCAUUCUCAGUUUUCUGAGGAAUCUCCAUACUGCUUUCCAUAGUGGUUGUAACAAUUUGCAGUCCCACCAGCAAU